CACGUAGGAGGCAAACGUUAUCCGGAUUUACUGGGCGUAAAGCGCGUGUAGGUGGUUCUGUAAGUAGGGCGUGAAAGCUCCCGGCUCAACUGGGAGAGGCCGUUCUAAACUGCAGAGCUAGAGGAUGGUAGAGGGAGGUGGAAUUCCAGGUGUAGCGGUGGAAUGCGCAGAUAUCUGGAGGAACACCAGUGGCGAAAGCGGCCUCCUGGACCAUUCCUGACACUCAGACGCGAAAGCUAGGGUAGCAAACGGG
rnacentral:rRNA from 1 species